rnacentral:lncRNA from 1 species
UUUGAGUUUAUAAGUCUGGGAUUAUGUUCUCAAUUGUGGAGUAUUAUUUUUCUUUAACUGUUUUCUCGUAUUUAUUCAUUUGUUUGUUUAUUUUUGUCGAGCCUUGACUUCGUUUUUAGUCGAAAAAACGAGACAUGUCAAUCCUACAUUACGACGGCGGCGUUGUCAUUGGAAAACAACUGAUUUUUAUAGUUCGUUCUUAUGUUGUACUGUUAUACCACCCAGGUUAGGGGGAGGGUUGGGAUCCCGCCAACAUGUUUAACCCCGCCACAUUAUGUAUGUAUGUGCCUGUCCCAAGUCAAGAGCCUGUAAUUCAGUGGUUGUCGUUUGUUUAUGUGUUACAUAUUUGUUGUUCGUUCAUUUUUCUUAUAUAAAUAAGGCCGUUAGUUUUCUUUACAUUGUCAUAUAGGGCCUUUUAUAGCUGACUAUGCGGUAUGGGCUCUGUUCAUUGUUGAAGACCGUACGGUGACCUAUAGUUGUGUCAUUUUGGUCUCUUGCGAACAGUUGUCUCAUUGGCAAUCAUACCACAUCUUCUUUUUUAUAAGGCAUUGCUUUAUUGGUGGUUUGAAUGGCAUUCUUCAUACAUAACAAAUGAAAGAUAUGCUUUGUAAAUGUCAUGAGUUUGAUAAAAUACAAAAAUAAUAUUUACAAAC